AGGGGACACCAGGCCCUUUGACUUCCGUGGGAAAGAUAUGGAUGGAGAAAGAUCAAGACCCUAUUUCUCUCAGUAGUAAGAGGUCAGAUCGCUCCAGCUGGCAGUGAAAUUCACAGAAGUGGGUAAAAGGGAGGAAACUUCCAUGAGGAUCCACUUGCAGAGUUCCUCCUUGAACGUUCUGUUGGGGAGUGGGGUUUGCUCCCCAUGGGAUCAGAGGUCUUAAACUCUUGGAAUUCCCUGCAAAGAUCAUGAAGAGCGAUGGUGCUGCAGAGCUGCUUCACCCCACUGGCAGGUGGAACUGGGAAGUAAGAGAGAUGGUUCAGGAGUUACUGUGGGGAAUACAGACUGCCACCAUCCUACCAGAGACAGAGGAGGAAGAAACAGAGGCUGGCUCUUUACUUUAUGCUAAGGGUGGUAAAGUAUCUAUUCUUUCUGUAUAGUGCUGUACUAAUCUGAUUGGUAAUCUUUGAUUAAAUAAUUAUAUCUGAGCCUGUUAUUUGACAAUCUCAAAUUGUUAAUUUCAAACACAGAACAGAAGAUAUGUAUGCAGAAGGUACCCCCUAUGUGUGAGUUUUGGAAGCACAAUCUGGCCCUUCCUAUGUAAGAACCUUCAAGACGUUUGACAUUAUUUAUUAUUUCUAACUAUUCUGUGGUUGAGAUCAGCAAUUUCCCUUCUCCCUUUGGGUGUACUUUGGCUAGAUAUGCUGGCAUGAGCUCUCACACUAAUGUGAAUUUUCAUUUUUCAUUUAAUCAGCCUUCCUCUGUAAAAAUAUGAGUGAGCAAGUUUUAUGUGCCUCAGUACAGCACAAGAGGGUAUAAUUUCUCCAACUCCUAUGAUUUUAGGGGUUGGUUUUGGUUUUAAAUGAGGAGCUUACUGAAAAGCUAUUGAUUGAUUUGGGAAAGGUACAACAUAACAUUGUCAAAUUGUAGUCACUGCUACAGCCUGUCUCUUUCAC